AGAAACACUACAUGCUAUAGGUAGGUAGAAACACUACAUGCUAUAGGUAGGUAGAAACACUACAUGCUAUAGGUAGGUAGAAACACUACGUGCUAUAGGUAGGUAGAAACACUACAUGCUAUAGGUAGGUAGACUACAUGCUAUAGGUAGAAACACUACAUGCUAUAGGUAGGUAGACUACAUGCUAUAGGUAGGUAGAAACACUACAUGUUAUAGGUGAUCAGGUCUUACAAUAGAGUUUAUAUUCAUUGUUCUGGUUCACCAUGGAGCAAUAGUUUUGGUAGCUUCAGUUUUUACACA